GUGCUCACUUUAGCAGCACAUACACUAAAAUUGGAACAAUACAGACAAGAUGAGCAUAUACAAGGAUGACACGCAAAUUCGUGAAGUGUUCCAUAUUUAA
rnacentral:snRNA from 1 species